AGAUACAAACAGCGUGGAGGCCCCGUGAGCCAGAGCUGGCUGCCUACCCCCAAAACCACUCCCCAGAGCCCCUCACGGUUCUAGCAGGGCAAACAACACCCACGUGGGAGAGAGACGGCCCCCAGGACAUACUGUGAUGGGCCACGGAGACACAGCAAGCCGGGGAGGACCCAGCCCCAGCUGCUGAGCCCCUGGGAUCCUGUAGGCAAGUGCCUCUGCUGAACUCAUCCAGAGCCAAAAAUGCUAGGGUUCGAAAGGAGUGUUCAAGGUGGCCACACCCCUCCCCCAGGCUGGACCAGAUGGCCGGGGUCUGGAGAGCCUGGCUCCGGCUCAUUCCAGGUGGCAGACUGGUGUGGCUGCCUGUGUGGGAAUAGCCGAAACCCAGAGACAUACGUAAGGUUCUUCUGAGCCAACAAUGGGCCCCGGAGCCCUCAUGCCGCGGCCUCUUCAUUGGAUGCAGGGUCACAAGAUUUGCCCAGAUGUCCAAAGCACAGGAUGUGGCCCCUCCAUCCACUCUAGGAUGCAGCCGUGGAGAAGGGGCGUAGAGAAAGAGCCAAGACCAAGAACCAAUGGGGGAGCCUGGCAUCCUGACUGUGCUGCCGGCCACAGUCAGGAUGGGUCAGGCCAUGCCCGCUCUGAGUUUCAGUUUUUUUGUUUUGGAUAUGGGAGCAGGCUACGCAAGUACCAUUUGAGCAUCAACCAAGUUUCAGGCCCUUUUUGGGGGCAUGCCACUUAUACCUACUUGCUUCUGUCCUCCCAGGGAGGUGCUAUCAGCCCCAUUUUACAGAUGGGACUCAAGGGCUCAGAGAGGGGGUGUGCACAGUCCAAGCUUACACAGUGAGAAAAAGCCAAGACUUGUGGCCAGGAAAGACAUUCUCCUAAACCAUGGUCUUGCCCUUCACACAGUGAGAGAGGUGUGAAGGGCUCAGAGUAUUUGUAAGGCUGCUGGGGUCUGUUAGCAAGAGGGGACUGAGGCAGAACCCUACCAGGGGUUCUACUAAGAACUCAUAAUGGAUGGCUUGAGAGGUUGGCUACACCUCCCCCUAGAUGCCUCCAGGCUGGCCCCCUUGUCUAUAAGGUUCCCAGGUGACAAAAACCCAUCCCUGGUCCCAGAUGGCUCAGCUACUUCUGCAACCAGUGCAAGAGGUGGCCACCCUGCCAUGGAGGAGUCAGGCUGGUGGGGGAACCAGAACCUCGAGCAGAUGGCACCAAGGCAGCCUGAGGGUGUGCCUAAGACAGACUUCAUCCAGCCCAGUGGGUCAGGAAGAGCUUCCCAGAGGCAGGAGUGCUUGAGCCAAAUCUAGAGCCAGCCAGGUGGACAAGGAGAAGAGGCCAUUCCCAGCAGAGUGACUAAUGUCUGAAAAAGUUGACAGACAUCAGGGCACAAAGCAUACUGAUCUGGUGGGUGCAGAAGCCCUGUGCAGCCCAAGGUGCCGCCCUGAGAACUUGGAGUUGGCUCUGUGGACCAAAAGGAGUUGAAGGUCAUCAGCUCUGUGUUUUAGGAACACCCUUCAGAAGCCAGUGAGAGAGUGGCAUGGACUGGGGAAACCAGAUGGCCGGCCACCUCACUAGUCCCAGGUGGGGAUGUGGGAAGGAAAGAUGGAUGGGGCAGAGAGAGGUUGAAGGGCGGCAAGACGGACUCAGAGCUUUGGGGAGAGUGAGUGGAUGUGGAGCGAGAGGAGGACCCAGGCCUCUCCCAAGUCUGGGCUUCAGGCCUGAAUGAAGUGGCUAGGAAGGGAGGGGGCAUUGCUGGGGAAACAAGGACUUCAGUUUGGGACACGACUAGGGUAAGGUGCUCUGGGCCAUCAGGGAGCUGAGGCCAGGAAGUAGCUGGAUAUUUGAGUGUGAAGUUUAGGAGGAAAGACAGACAAGCGACGGAGAAACAGGAGUCUUGUAUCUGAAGCACAGAAGAGGAAGAGCUGGCUCCGGGGUGACAGGGCCGGGGAUGAGGCACCACAUUUGAGGGGAAGAGGGGGCAUCUGCAGAUGAGAAGAAGGAGCAGCCAGGCCGGUAGGAAGAAAACCAGAAGGUUGUUGAGAAAGGCAGGUGGAAGUGUAUCCAGAAGCCAGGUGUGUCAGCAGCGUCCAAAGGUGGCCUCAGGUCAAGGAAAAGAAGGUCAAGAUGAGAUCUAAAAUGCAUCCGCUUGGGUUUAGCAAAAAAGAGGUCACUUGUGACGGUUUAGGAACUGAAUCAGAGGCAUAGGUACGGGACAGGAGAUGGCCUGGGGGACAAGCCCGGGAGAAAUGGAGACCACACAGUAACUUUAGCCAUGAAGGGAGAGGGGAAUAGGGGUUUGAGGGGUUCUUCCGGAUGGAAGGGGUAGGACAACAUUUAUAGGCUGAGAGAAAGGCUCCAGCAAGGUGAGGGGACCCUCUGUGAGGCGGGGUCUCUGGGGAAGGACUCAGAGCCUGGCCUUGGACAGGAGGUGACCCCUCAACUUCAGAUUCAGGAGCACAGAGGGGGAGGAGCCAGACCUACUCACAGGAACAAUGGAGAAGGGUGGGGGGCAUCUCCUGGCACCCCAGAGUGGGGAGGGCAUUGCUUGCUUGAAGCCAACUCGGCAGGCGGUGGAGAAACAACCAGUCCAUCCUGAACCCCAGCCCCCACCUAUCACCAGGUUCCACCCAGCUCUGGGGUCUCCAUGUCCCCCCCACCCACCCUGCUCUGGUCCAACAGGUUCCACAGGUCCAGGCAGGGGCCUGGAGGGACAGGCUGAUGGCAAAACCAUUUCCCCAGGAAUGUAGGUUUCUGGGGGGGGGGCCCACAGACACGCUUGCCCCUGCACGUUGCAGGCCCACACCUCCCAUAAUGCCCCAGGGGACCAGACGCUACAACCAGACAAGGAGGUUCUGGACCAGGAAGAUUCCUGCCAAGGGGUCUUGGCAGAGCAGAGGGGAAGGGGAUAGGGGGGACUCAUGCUGGGAGCCUGGACUGCAGCCGGGUGAGGGCUGAGCCCUAACUCCCAGGUUCCCCUGCUCUCACUCCUCCAUCCCGAGACUGGAGCCACUCCUCACCCAGGGAAAGGGCUCUGUCCACAUCUCAGGCCAAGGGGCUAUUUGGAGGCCACCUUCCAACCCAUCAUCACACAAGCCCAGUGUGGAGGGUCACACCCCUAACCUUACACCUAGACUAAAGGCACUAGCAGAGUCUAGUUUUGGGACUCAAGCCUCCUACUCCAACCCAGGGCUCUGCCCACAAAGCGCUCUGGCCUUCCAGAGGGCAGAGGGGACAAUUCAAGACAAACUUGUCUCUCAGGACCUGGGGCAGGGUAAGUCCUGGCACGCCCCUCGAGGGGGAAGAAGCCAGGUGUGAGUGGUUAGCCACCCUACUCGACCAUGGUUUUCCUUUGGUGGAGGGCAGCCUGCCUCGGCCACAGGGAAGAGAAGCAGGGAGGGACCUCUGUGUGCUGGGCAGAAAUCCCUGGAGAGCCCUGGGGACGGGAACUGGUCCUGUGGAUCUGACUCUAGCACCUCCAAGAUCCCUGUCUGGGCUUUGUUUUAAGAAGGGGAGGCUCCGAUGAGGGAGCCCUGGCCUGGGAAAUGUUAGGGGGAAAGGUAGGGGUAGCUAUAAAUCUGAUUUCAGGGACCCUCUCACUGGGGAUGUUUAUAAAUACUUUUGUGAGGGCAGGAAUAAUGACACUCUCAGUGCUACCUGAUCCCAUACGGGCUCGUGUGUGGACACGGGAGCCCAUGCGUGUGCCCAGCACAGCCCACAUGGCCAGAACCCCCAUCCUAAGCCGGUUAACACAGGGAUGCCCCGCCCUCCUCCUCACUCACACCACAGCUUUAAAGACUCAAUUCAAACUUCUCCCUAAAUCAUUUAACUCCCUUAUCACACAGUGUGUCUGGGAAAGGAAGGCAGAUAAGGCGAGUCUGGUUUCUUUCAUGGCCGGGCCUGACACCACGCUCCUGGCAAUAGUUCCUGAGGGACUCCACUGCCUUGACCAUGGAGACCCAGAGGCUCCAGCUCAGCCGAAGGCAUUUUCAGGGAACAACUGUGACCCAGGCUCCAGGGCCUGGCCUGGCCUCAGGCUGCUGCCAUCUACUGCAGGCCCCCGGCCGGCUCUUUCCGCCCGCCAGACCACAGUUGAGGCUCUGUGGACACUUUUAUGAACAGAUUGGGCUGAUGUCACUGCUGUAACUACCCAGCCCGCUCAGUGCAAGAGGCCCAACUGGUCUGUGCCAAUCCCCCUUGGUUUAGAUACAAGGAAACGGAGGUCCAGCUGGGAAGAGAUGCCCCCAAGGCCUCAAAGCAAAAGUGCCUAAACCAGCUGCUGUCUGCUCCACGGCCUCCUACAGGGAGUCCUCCCUGGUUACUCCCACUGCCCUGCCCUCCUGCCCUCUUCCUCCUCCUGGGGCCUCCCUGGCUACUCUGUUUCCUUACUACCUGGCUCUCCCAUUGGACCUGUCUUAGCCAGAUAUGCAAGGUCCUUAGCAAGGUCAAGAUUUGUGUACUCAGAGUGGAUUACUUGAUCAACCCUUUCUGCAUUGAGUUCAGGGCACAUUUAUAUGCUGAAUAAGACCCCCCCUCGAAUUCCUACAGUCCCCACUUUGAAACAGGAUGCAAAAGUGUCUCCCAAUCUCACUGCUUAUUACAGGGGGGCGGUGUAACACCAGCCUCCACAAUGCCUGACCACAGCCACCCCAGGCUAGCGUGUGCGAUGAGACCCUCACACCCAGACCACUCCCCUCCCCCACAACAUAGACGUGGGGGUUUGAGAGGCCAGGGAAGCAGCAGCCCCGGCCCUCUGCCGUGACCCUGUCCAGUCUUGCCCUGGAGCCCUGACUCCCUGUUCAUGACCAAGCGCCCAAUCACAUGCUGCUGGUCAUAGCACAUAAGCAGGAACAUGUGGAUGGAUGGCUCCACGCAGCCCCCCCUCACUGCCAGAAACCACUGGGCGCCUGUGUCAGCACUCCUGAGAGGUGGGCUACAAGAGAAAUGGGGACCUGUGUGCUUCUAGUCAGGUGGGGGGAAGCUGCCUCAAGCCCAGGAAGCGAGCCUCUGACCCCACUGGAGCCCCUGACCAUCCUGCACCCACAGUCCUCAGCUAUGCCUGCCAUGCCAUCUCACCCGAGGCCCUUCUGAAGUCCACAACCUACUCCCCAACUGUGUCUCCAUGCUCUUCCUCCAGCCACUACAGCAUCCCUGCCGACCUCCAGCCUCUUCUUCCAGGAGGCUCUCCUCUCUCCAUUUCUAAGAGUGGGCUCUCCAGGGCCUUCCAGCUCCCUGGCAGCAACUCUGCCUCUGCCCAGGACGUCUGCCCACCCUCUCCUUCUGCACAAAUGCCCUGAAGACCUCGCCCACGCCAGGGCUUCAACUACCAGCUCUGCUCUGUUGUCUCCCUAAGCUGCGGCCUUAACCACUCUCGGUGCACCAGAUCCGUGACUCCACCUGCUCUGGGACAGCUUCACCCUGGAUGUCCCACAGCCCCUCACACUCAACCCGACCCAAACAAAACCCAGGAUCUCCACCAGAUGUGUGACCCAGUAGUUCCCCAGGCAGGGCUGCGCUCUCUGUCCCCCUGCUCACAUCCAAAGACUAUCUCAUCCUGCUGAUGCCCCCUCUGAGGCCCAGCUCCAAGGCAGCCCAGCCCUCCAGCCACCCACCACUGCCCCAGCUAUGACCAUCCUCUCUCCUUGAGCCAUCACAGUUAAGUUAGCCUGUCUCCAGCCACCCUCCAACUCGCCCCAUCCAUCCUUGAGGGAGCUUGCUAGAUACAAGGAGGACCCUGUCCCUCCCCUGUCCAGCGCCCCUCACCCACCACCCCCAUAGGCAAGAGGACUAGCUCACCUCAGGUGAUCAUGGCCAACUCCCAUGGAAAAAAAUUAGAUGGCUGGAGAGAAUCCUUUCAUAUAUGUACACGUAUGCAUGUACAUGGAUGUAUUUAUACGCAUAUGACUGGGAGUAUUUUUGUUACGACUUGGGCAGCUGCUUCCAUGAGCAGACAAGCAGCAAAUAAACGCAUGUUAAAAUAAAACCUCAGAAACAGCCGAUGACACAGUUUAUUAGGCAUGUGUGAGCCCACAGUGGUGACUUUAUACCAUGGACAUGUAGUGUCCAUGCUCAUAGGGGAGAAUUACAUGCUACUUCACACGGAGCACUGGGUCAGCCGGGGGCUCUGCCACCAGCACAUGUUUAAGUACCUUUCGUGUCCUGGGGCAAAGCCCAGCUCCCAAGCCCAGCAUCCAAGGGGCCUUCACAACUUGCCCCUCCACUCUCAUACCCACCCAGCUCCCCUAUGGCCAGGGAGUCCUUUUACUCUUUCUGAGGCUGCAUGCACAGCUCCCCACAGCACCCCUAUCUACAGCAGCAGCAGCAGCAAGCCCUGAACCUUCAACACAAAGUCUUCCUGGGACACCCACUGGGAAGGGCUGAUGGUGUUUGGAGCAGAACAUCUGCUCUGGCUGCCUGCACUAUUGAUACUGCUCCAUCUAGGGCCAUCUCCCACCCAGACUAGGACCUCCAGGGGCAAGGGCUAAUCUGAUCCUCUUCCCCCUGGCUCCCUGAGGUGCACACAGGAGACCCGAGUGCCUGAUGGAUUGAACCAAGGAGGGGCAGCAGGUGCAGACUACUCAGACAAGACCUUGGAAACCCAACCCCAGAGCACAUGCCUGAGCAGGGUGGAAAAUCCCACCUAACGGCCACUGCACACACCAUAAAAACAUUCUAACUAGCCACUCCAAGAGGCCCCGUGCUCAGGGUAGUGACCUGUCCACACGGGCCUCCGCCCCUCCCCCACGCAAUUUGGCUUCUAGCCAGCCACUGAGCCCAGGAAUCUACAGACUGCUCAAGGCUGGUUUCCGUCUCUACCCUCACGAUAUUCCUCCUUUCUAACGCCCACCUCGAAUCAUCACAAGAACGGGAGGAGUGGAAACGGUUAUUCCUUCAGGAUGAUAGGAUGAUGGGCAAAGAUACUGCCUGGCCCACCUGAAGGAGGCCCUGUGGCUGGGAAGGCACAGCCAGAUGACUGCAGGAAUGAGAGAUCUGAAAGGCUUGUUCCUGUCACCUUAGGCUUCCAACGAUGUUUGGAGCCACAGACCUCCUGGGCUGGCCUGCACUGCCCCAAAGGAGCUGGAUCAGUAUAACAGAUGCUGAGUGCUGACCCCCCUUCCCCCUCCACCAUGGGGACAGGAAGGAAUGCUGGGUUACCUAAUCCAAACAGCCUUCCAGCAAUUAUUUCAUGAGAAAGUCAAGUGCCAAAAGGCGUGCAUGUUGCAUGUGUGUGUGCGUGUGUGUGUUCCAAGUAGCUGUCUGGACAGGGUGAGCCAAACCGCUCCCUGCAUUCUUUCUUUGGGUAAAAUCUUUGAUAGAGACCGUGAGAGACACUGCUGCUGCAGCUUCCACCCCAGAUGGCACCUGUAGCCCCCUACAGGUCUGAGCAUGGGAGCCUGGAGUUCAGAAGCCCUGAUCACAGCCAGAAAAGCCCAGUCCCUUCCUUUGCAGGACCCAAGGAAGGACCAUGGGGGAAAGUCUUAGAAGGAACUGGACAGCUUGACCCCUGGUCCUACAGCCAAUGUGCACCUGGGCAUGUGCCUGGACCAGCAGCAUAGGUGGGGGGUGGCAGGGAUUCAGCUUUGCCUCUCACCCAGAGGAAGGAAGGCUGGCCGGGUCUGGGGGUGGGAAUCUUAAUAGUGAGAAAGAAGUGAGAGACUGUAGAGACUGGCUGCCUGGGAUCCAUCCACAUUCUCCUACCUCAUGUAGGUUAUCUGGACUGUUUUGCUCCAUCAUGAGAAUACCUGGGAGGGGCUGCUUGGGGGCAGGACAGGGCAGGACAGGGCUCCAUCUGCAGCUGAAGUAGGGACUCUGUCGAGGGCAGAGAUGGGGUUCUCUGUGGGUCCUAGGAAGGCAGACGGUACAAGAAUCAAACCACCCCCCUGGCUCCUCUCCCUCAGCAGUCAGACCACUGAGUCAGUAGCUGGAGAUGAGCCUAGGAGGUAAGGAGACAUGAACCAGGAGCGUGAGGAAGAGGAGCAGAGGGGCAGAGGGGCAGGCAUGGAAGGCAGGAGGGGGAUAGGAGGUGAUUCUGGAGUGGGGUGGGUUUGAAGACCAGCGCCGCCCAAGAGCUGGCACCAUGGCCAGGUGGAGGGAAGCUGCCUCAGCUCCAGGACCCUCCUCUCGCCCUCCUCCAGUUCAGCUCCUGCCCAGUACCAGGCUGUGAGGGAGGUAAGGGCUGAUGAACCUGGCUGAGCUCCCUCCACAUUCACCAGCUCUGAUGUCAGUGCGCUGGUGAGGCUGACCUCCCACAGAGUCCUGGGGUCUCUGGCGCCUGCCCUCCCAGCCCCCCCUUCACCUGGCUCUGACCCCUCCGCAGCCUGCUGGUCCCUGAUCUGCUCUGGUUCUAAGCUUGAAGCAGGAUGUGGGACAAACCUUCCUGAGCCCCCCUGUCAGUCCCCUCAUGAGAUCAAAUCUUUGCCAGACCAAAACCAGGAAAUCAUGGACCUGAGAUGGGGAAAUGGAGGCCCUGAGAGGGACAGGAACUGGCCCCAGGCUACAUCGCAAGGCAUACAAAGACAGGACUGGAACCCCAGGUCCCAGCCCCAGAUUUGAGACACUCCUUGUGUGCUGGUCCCAGCGCACCUCCUGGGGCAACAGUCAAAUUCAGUGGGCAGCUCCUCACUGCUCCCAGGUUGCUGGGUUCGGGAGCCAAGAAGAGUGCUAAGCCGGGAGGCACGAGUGUGGUGCAGGCUGUGCAGCAGAAGCCCUGGGGGGGAUGCCUGAGGGUGCACUCAAGGUCCUUCCAGCAAAAUGCACAAAACUCACACUUCUGCAAUUUUGCCUACCCUGGCACCACGGCCUGAAGCGUCCCUCGCACUAGCCAUCCCAUCUGUCAAGUUCCUGCUCAUUCUUCAUCUCUUCAGAGCCCAGUGUUAGUGCUGCCUCCUCUGCGAAGCCGUUCCUGAUGAAGCUGUCACCACCCCUCGCCGCCACUCGCGGCCCCACCAUGACCAUUAGAAUACGUAUAUUCCUCCUGCCCUUAUCUUCCUCCUCCAAUGUGGGGCUUGUGCCCUCUUGAGCAGAGAUCUCUGUUUAGGGUGUCUGUGAAGUUUCCCAUCACCCUCAGGCUAAGGGGUCAAGAAGGGGCAGGAGCCUAUCUCACUCAUCCCUCCGCCCCAUCGCCCCGUCCCCAGCUUUAUCAGCCGAUGCUUAUUGAAUGAGUGAAUGAAGGGGGAGAAGUGCUGAACGAAUGAGUGCAUGAACUAGUGAUGGACUAGUGAACAGAGGUGGAGAGAACAAGCCAGGGAAGGAAAGUAGAAAAGACCUCUUCUGUGUCUCCUGAACCCCAGAGUUACUAACUACCUGGUGUCCCAGUGGGCGGGAAGGCAGCGGGGCAGCCCAGGCCAGGGCACGGUGACAUGGCUUGGCCCUGGGAAGCGGCCAGAUCGGUCACUCAUUCUUUCCAGAUCAAAGUUCCCCCAGGGAACAGCCUGGAACCUGAAACUGGUGGGGGAGGUGGGGGUGUUGGGCCAGUUGGCCCCGUUCAGGAGGAGGGCACACAGAGGCAAGGCACCUGUUCCCAGAUCCAGGGACACCAGGCCAGCAGCCCAGGGAUGAGACUGGACACACAUACACACACUUACUCCAGCCUCAGACCCAGCCCUUCCCUCAGAUAAAGGGCCACACAGGUAGGUAGGGAACCCCUGGCUCCAGGCCCUUCUGUUCCAGACUCCCCAAGGACUCCAAGCCCCCCAGGCCCCAGGGGCUCCGCUCCUUCCGCUUCACCCUCCAUGUCAGUUUUGAAUCACUCCCUGCCCCAUCUCUCAGUGGCUUCCAUCUCGGACACCCUCCGGAUCCAUCUUCCUCUGUCUCCCAGUCGUUGCGUCUGUUUUUCCGUCAUUGCACCUUUCUGUCUCAGCUCUCCACAUUUCUCUGCAUUUUUUGAUCCCCUUGAUCCUUGUAUCCCGGUCUCUUUCCAUCUCUCUGUAUCUCCUUAGAUAUGAAGAAUAACGGAGUGGUGAGUCAGCCCUUUCUUCUCAGGAGGAGCUGUCUCACAUGCUUCCCACUCUCCAGCCCCUGUUCCCUACAGUCUACAGUGAAAAGAUGUUUCCCAGUGGUGGAACAGGAGUGGGAGAGAAUGGGAGAGAACAGAACCCAUGGCCCCUGUUGCAGCCAGGCCCCCUUGGUAGCCUCAGGCUGCUAUGUCUGAGCCAGACCUAGGUCAUGUGAGCAGGCAGGGAGGAAGUGGGCAGAGCUGGUCUGGGGCAGGAGGCCCAUGUCAGUGGGCCAGGUCCCUGAGUCUGCCACUCCUGUCCUUCCUUAUUCCACUGCAAGCUAUGGAAAGUCAUGCCACAGCCAGUGUUUGACUUCAUGCCCCCAUCCCCAUGUACAAACUAGCGUGCAAGCGCACACACACACACACACACACACACACACACACACACACAGAGUAUAGGGGCGUGACUAAGAGCACAGGACUCCAAAUCUCAGUCAUGGCUCACCACUCCUUGUACCUCAGUUGUCUUAUCUGUAAA